CCUACGGGAGGCAGCAGUGGGGAAUAUUGCACAAUGGGCGAAACCCUGAUGCAGCGACGCCGCGUGAGUGAAGAAGGAAUUCGGUAUGUAAAGCUCUAUCAGCAGGGAAGAAACAGUCGAUACCUGUGUAAGAAUCCACGGCUAACUACGUGCCAGCAGCCGCGGUAAUACGGCGGGGGCAAGGGUUAUCCGGAUUUACUGGGUGUAAAGGGAGCGUAGACGGCGAAGAAAGUCUGAAGUGAAAGCGCUGGGCUUAACCGGGGAACUGCCUCUGAAACUUUUUAGCUAGAGUACCGGAGAGGUAGGCGGAAUUCCUAGUGUAGCGGUGAAAUGCGUAGAUAUGAGGAGGAACACCAGUGGCGAAGGCGGCUUACUGGACGAUAACUGACGUUGAGGCUCGAAAGCGUGGGGAGCAAACAGGAUUAGAUACCCCUGUAGUC
rnacentral:rRNA from 1 species